CACGUGGACAACCUGCCUCAAGGCUGGGGAUAACAUCCGGAAACAGAUGCUAAUACCGAAUAAAACUUAGUGUCGCAUGACACAAAGUUAAAAGGCGCUUCGGCGUCACCUAGAGAUGGAUCCGCGGUGCAUUAGUUAGUUGGUGGGGUAAAGGCCUACCAAGACAAUGAUGCAUAGCCGAGUUGAGAGACUGAUCGGCCACAUUGGGACUGAGACACGGCCCAAACCCCUACGGGAGGCUGCAGUAGGGAAUCUUCCACAAUGGGCGAAAGCCUGAUGGAGCAACGCCGCGUGUGUGAUGAAGGCUUUCGGGUCGUAAAGCACUGUUGUAUGGGAAGAACAGCUAGAAUAGGAAAUGAUUUUAGUUUGACGGUACCAUACCAGAAAGGGACGGCUAAAUACGUGCCAGCAGCCGCGGUAAUACGUAUGUCCCGAGCGUUAUCCGGAUUUAUUGGGCGUAAAGCGAGCGCAGACGGUUUAUUAAGUCUGAUGUGAAAGCCCGGAGCCCAACUCCGGAAUGGCAUUGGAAACUGGUUAACUUGAGUGCAGUAGAGGUAAGUGGAACUCCAUGUGUAGCGGUGGAAUGCGUAGAUAUAUGGAAGAACACCAGUGGCGAAGGCGGCUUACUGGACUGCAACUGACGUUGAGGCUCGAAAGUGUGGGUAGCAAACAGGAUUAGAUACCCUGGUAGUCCACACCGUAAACGAUGAACACUAGGUGUUAGGAGGUUUC
rnacentral:rRNA from 1 species